AUGAUUCUUACCCGUGGUUUAGUAGAAAUAGAAAUGGCUUGGCUGAGCUGGGAUAAAAUGAGGCUUCCUAAGUCGAAGGGUGGCAUAGGAUUCAAAGAUAUGAGGGCAUUUAACCAGGCCUUGCUUGCUAAGCAGGCGUGGAGAUUAAUUGACAGCCCAGACAGUUUAUGUGCACGUUUACUGAAGGCUAGAUACUAUCCCCGAGGUAACCUGCUUGACACGGUUUUCUCUGGUAAUGCGUCAGCGGUGUGGAAGGGAAUUGAGCAUGGCCUUGAUCUUGUCAAAAAAGGAUUAAUAUGGCGAGUGGGUGAUGGGUCUCUGAUCCGUAUUUGGAGAGACCCAUGA
rnacentral:rRNA from 1 species